rnacentral:rRNA from 1 species
AACGAACGCUGGCGGCGCGCCUAAUACAUGCAAGUCGAGCGAGAAGGUGUAGCAAUACACUUGUAAAGCGGCGAACGGGUGAGGAAUGCAUGGGUAAUCUACCAUCGAGUGGGGAAUAACCAACCGAAAGGUUGGCUAAUACCGCGUACGCCUCCGAGUCUUCGGGUUCGGAGGGAAAGCUGCACUGUGAGUGUAGCGCUCUUUGAUGAGCUCAUGUCCUAUCAGCUUGUUGGUAGGGUAACGGCCUACCAAGGCUUUGACGGGUAGCUGGUCUGAGAGGACGAUCAGCCACACUGGCACUGCGACACGGGCCAGACUCCUACGGGAGGCAGCAGUAAGGAAUAUUGCGCAAUGGGCGAAAGCCUGACGCAGCGACGCCGCGUGGGGGAUGAAGGUCUUCGGAUUGUAAAACCCUACGUCGCCAGGGACGAAGGGUGGGGCGGUGAAUAGCGUUCUACUUUGACGGUACCUGGAAGGAAGCCCCGGCUAACUCUGUGCC